rnacentral:rRNA from 1 species
AAUGAACGCUGGCGGCAGGCCUAAUACAUGCAAGUCGAGCGAGCGGCGGACGGGUGAGUAAUGCGUGGGGACCGCCCGAUAGAGGGGGAUUACCACUGGAAACGGUGGCUAAUACCCCAUACUGUUGGCAAUCCCAUAUGGGAUUAGCUAGUGGGUAAGGUAAUGGCUUACCUAGGCGACGAUCCCUAGCUGGUCUGAGAGGGUGAUCGGCCACACUGGGACUGAGACACGGCCCAGACUCCUACGGAGGCAGCAGUGGGGAAUAUUGCACAAUGGGCGCAAGCCUGAUGCAGCCAUGCCGCGUGUAUGAAGAAGGCCCUAGGGUUGUAAAGUACUUUCAGUCGGGAGGCGUUACCGACAGAGGAAGCACCGGCUAACUCCGUGCCAGCAGCCGCGGUAAUAC